AGGAGGCAGCUGUUCCGAGUUAUCACCACCGCAGCAAGGAACACUACCAGGAUGACGUGGCAAAGUUUGUUGAGUUUUACAAGAGCGACGACUUGUUCGCGUAUCAUCCCGGCAGGAACCAUCCAUCAUUUACAAACUUUAAACAUAGUUUGAGAAUAAACAACGGUGCUAAUCUAAAAGCCCGGCUACAGAAAUACAGCCACAAACUCGACCAGACGUUGUCCUUUAAGGUGGUCAGGCCUAACUAAGGUUAGUAACUGUGAAAAAAAAUACAAAGGGGCUCGGGGCGAUUUAUCCCCGAAAUGCCAAAAAGAGCCUCCUUAAAUUUGCAUAAAGUUUUAUGCAAACCAAAUUUCAGAGGGAUAUUAUCAUGCACGGGAGCUUGAAAAUAAAUUUAAUUUUGUACCUGGUUGGUAACAUUCAUGAACUUUCUGUUCAUAUAUCUUACUGCUGUCGGCAAAAGCAAGCCAAGCGACAGACAGAACAGCAACAACAUGCUGAACACUGACACAUGUCCUUCUCACAACACCCUCUACAUGUUGGGUGCUUUAUUGAUAGCUCUGGUGUUUCAGCCAUUUUCAGGCUUUGGAGGACAGCCAGCCUCACACAACAACCCUCAUCGCGAACUUGGUGGCAAAUGUGGAGCAUGUCCUCCUGCAUGCGACGUGUAUCGAGUGCUCUUGGGCCAAGUAAAAGGUGAGCAGAGGAAGGCAACCCAUCUCGGCCGGCUCGACCAACUUCUUGCCAGUAUUGCAGAGCGCUUCUACUUGGAC